ensembl:snoRNA
CCCUCCUACAAAGGCAUGUCUUUUGUUCCCAUGUUUUUGGACAUGUAAGAAUUGGAGGCAAGGAAAUGAGGAUUUGGAGAUAUCUGGGGCCAGCUUGUUCCCUGCAGACUCUGGAUGAGCUGUCCCACAUAA